CCUACGGGAGGCAGCAGUGAGGAAUAUUGGUCAAUGGACGAGAGUCUGAACCAGCCAAGUAGCGUGAAGGAUGACUGCCCUAUGGGUUGUAAACUUCUUUUAUAUGGGAAUAAAAUGUUCCACGUGUGGGAUUUUGUAUGUACCAUAUGAAUAAGGAUCGGCUAACUCCGUGCCAGCAGCCGCGGUAAUACGGAGGAUCCGAGCGUUAUCCGGAUUUAUUGGGUUUAAAGGGAGCGUAGGUGGAUUGUUAAGUCAGUUGUGAAAGUUUGCGGCUCAACCGUAGAAGUGCAGUUGAAACUGGCAGUCUUGAGUACAGUAGAGGUGGGCGGAAUUCGUGGUGUAGCGGUGAAAUGCGUAGAUAUCACGAAGAACUCCGAUUGCGAAGGCAGUUCACUGGACUGCAACUGACACUGAGGCUCGAAAGUGUGGGUAUCAAACAGGAUUAGAUACCCGUGUAGUC
rnacentral:rRNA from 1 species